GAUGAACGCUAGCUACAGGCUUAACACAUGCAAGUCGAGGGGAAACGACAUCGAAAGCUUGCUUUUGAUGGGCGUCGACCGGCGCGCGGGUGAGUAACGCGUAUCCAACCUGCCCACCACUUGGGGAUAACCUUGCGAAAGUAAGACUAAUACCCAAUGAUAUCCCACGAAGACAUCUGAAUGGGAUUAAAGAUUUAUCGGUGAUGGAUGGGGAUGCGUCUGAUUAGCUUGUUGGCGGGGUAACGGCCCACCAAGGCAACGAUCAGUAGGGGUUCUGAGAGGAAGGUCCCCCACAUUGGAACUGAGACACGGUCCAAACUCCUACGGGAGGCAGCAGUGAGGAAUAUUGGUCAAUGGGCGAGAGCCUGAACCAGCCAAGUAGCGUGCAGGAAGACGGCCCUAUGGGUUGUAAACUGCUUUUAUAAGGGAAUAAAGUGGGUCACGUGUGACUUUUUGCAUGUACCUUAUGAAUAAGGACCGGCUAAUUCCGUG
rnacentral:rRNA from 1 species